UACGAAGGGGGCUAGCGUUGUUCGGAAUUACUGGGCGUAAAGGGCGCGUAGGCGGCACGACAAGUCGGGAGUGAAAGCCCGGGGCUCAACCCCGGAAUGUCUCUCGAAACUGUCGAGCUAGAGUGCGGAAGAGGCAACUGGAAUUCCCAGUGUAGCGGUGAAAUGCGUAGAUAUUGGGAAGAACACCUGAGGCGAAGGCGGGUUGCUGGGCCGACACUGACGCUGAGGCGCGAAAGCCAGGGGAGCGAACGGG
rnacentral:rRNA from 1 species